CCUACGGGGUGCUGCAGUGGGGAAUAUUGGGCAAUGGACGCAAGUCUGACCCAGCAACGCCGCGUGAAGGAAGAAGGCUUUCGGGUUGUAAACUUCUUUUAAGGGGGAAGAGCAGAAGACGGUACCCCUUGAAUAAGCCACGGCUAACUACGUGCCAGCAGCCGCGGUAAUACGUAGGUGGCAAGCGUUGUCCGGAUUUACUGGGUGUAAAGGGCGUGCAGCCGGAGAGACAAGUCAGAUGUGAAAUCCACGGGCUCAACCCGUGAACUGCAUUUGAAACUGUUUCCCUUGAGUGUCGGAGAGGUAAUCGGAAUUCCUAGUGUAGCGGUGAAAUGCGUAGAGAUCAAGAGGAAUACUCAUUGCGAAGGCGACCUGCUAGAACAUAACUGACGCUGAUGCGCGAAAGCGUGGGGAGCAAACAGGAUUAGAUACCCUAGUAGUC
rnacentral:rRNA from 1 species